rnacentral:rRNA from 1 species
GAGUUUGAUCCUGGCUCAGAUUGAACGCUGGCGGCGUGCCUAACACAUGCAAGUCGAGCGGUAACAGGUGUAGCAAUACAUGCUGACGAGCGGCGAACGGGUGAGUAAUGCUUUGGAAUCUUCCCAGUAGUGGGGAAUAACCAGUCGAAAGAUUGGCUAAUACCGCAUACGUCUGUAAAGGGAAAGCGGGGGCUCGUAAGACCUCGCGCUAUUGGAUGAGCCAAAGUCGGAUUAGCUAGUUGGUGGGGUAAUGGCCUACCAAGGCGACAAUCCGUAGCUGGUCUGAGAGGACGACCAGCCACACCGGAACUGAGACACGGUCCGGACUCCUACGGGAGGCAGCAGUGGGGAAUAUUGGACAAUGGGGGAAACCCUGAUCCAGCGACGCCGCGUGUGUGAAGAAGGCCUGCGGGUUGUAAAGCACUUUUAGUGGGGACAAAAAGCUACGGAUUAAUACUCUGUGGUCUUGAUUUAACCCAAAGAAAAAGCACCGGCUAACUCUGUGCCAGCAGCCGCGGUAAUACAGAGGGUGCGAGCGUUAAUCGGAAUUACUGGGCGUAAAGCGCGCGUAGACGGUUUUGUAAGUCAGAUGUGAAAUCCCUGGGCUCAACCUGGGAACUGCAUUUGAGACUGCAUGGCUAGAGUAUCGAAGAGGGAAGUGGAAUUUCCGGUGUAGCGGUGAAAUGCGUAGAUAUCGGAAGGAACACCAGUGGCGAAAGCGACUUCCUGGUCGAAUACUGACGUUCAUGUGCCAAAGCGUG